rnacentral:rRNA from 1 species
CCUACGGGAGGCAGCAGUGAGGAAUAUUGGGCAAUGGACGAGAGUCUGAACCAGCCACGCAGCGUGAAGGAUGACUGCCCUAGGGUUUGAAAACUUCUUUUAUAUGGGAGUAAAAUGUUCCAGGUGUGGGAUUUUGUAUGUACCAUAUGAAUAAGGAACGGCUAACGCCGUGCCAGCAGCCGCGGUAAUACGGAGGAUCCGAGCGUUGUCCGGAUUUAUUGGGUUUAAAGGGAGCGUAGGUGGGUUGUUAAGUCAGUUGUGAAAGGUUGGGGCUCAACCGGUAAAUUGCAGUUGAAACUGGCAGUCUUGAGUACAGUAGAGGUGGGCGGAAUUCGUGGUGUAGCGGUGAAAUGCGUAGAUAUCACGAAGAACUCCGAUUGCGAAGGCAGUUCACUGGACUGCAACUGACACUGAGGCUCGAAAGUGUGGGUAUCAAACAGGAUUAGAUACCCGUGUAGUC